rnacentral:rRNA from 1 species
UAAACUAGGAUUAGAUACCCUAUUAUUAAGAGCUAUAUAUUGUUAGUAAAUAAUAAUUACGAAAACAUAAAGUUAUGGCGGUAUUUCAAGCUUUUCAGAGGAAUUUGCUCUAUAAUGGAUAAAACGCCUAUACCUUACUAAAAUUUGUAAAAUCAGUUUGUAUACCACUAUAAAAGUAAUAUUUUACUAGUAUUACUUUAAUUUUUUAAAUUAAAAAAAGAUUAAGUCAAGGUGCAGCUAAAAUUUUAGAUUGAAGUGAAUUACAUUUCUUUUUAGAGAAAAAAUUGAAAUAUAAAUUAGGAUUUAAAAGUAAAGUUUUUAAUAAAAUGAAAAUUUGAAUUAAGCUCUGAAAUAUGUACAUAUCGCCCGUCGCUCUUUUUUGAAGAUAAGUCGUAACAAAGUUAAAAUACUGGAAAGUGU